AGGAACAACUGUCUUCAUCGGGACGCGGGGGUUGUUCGGUUCAGGCUGACGCACGCCCUCUGAGGCUGAGAUGGACCUAAUUAGCGCGUGCCACUCUGCUGGUGAGCUGUGGUGGUUACUUCAUCUCGCUGGUCAUCAAGUCUUCUGUGACAGAUUGGAUGCCCAAAGAGACCUGGUUUUGCUGAUAAAUCAUUUUCAUCGGCAAAUGCAUGUCCUAAUUCUAAAGAUAAAUUACCUUUUCACUCUUUGGGGAAUUGGCGAGUGGUGCACAGUGACCCUGACGAUGCCCUUUUUGGAUUGUAGGCACGGCUCCAAACCGGAGGGUUCUGGCAGGGACAGGCCCCCAGGGGUCUCGGCAGCCUCUGCGGUUAACGUUGUCCUGCCGGGAGCGCAGGGCGAGGGCUGACCUUAAUCCUACUGCUAGGAAAACGCGUCGGUCAGUUCCCCGGAGUGCGGCACGUGAGCUGGGGCUAAAGGCUGUACCCUGCCGGGAUGCUCCUCUCCCCAGCAAUGGCUGUUCGUUAGGAGCAGCGUAACGGGCCCGCAAUCAGUCAUUCUUUAAGCUGGAACUUGCUUUAGGUAAAACGCCCGUGUCGCCAUUUAACCUUGACCUCGGCUGUGAUGCUGCCUGUACUUUGCUCCCCAGGCAGCGAAGUGAAGAAAUGAGUUUGUUCCUGGCUUUGGUAAUCUUCAGUCUGGACUGUGCCAUGCCGUUCCCUCACAAGCAGACAGCUGUCACGUGAAUUCUGGAGCUACAGAAGUGCUGUGACGUCAGACCUUCUGCACCAUCUUCAAGCCUUGCAUAGGCACACGCAGCCAACAAGCAGGCUCUGUCGACUUCGAGAUGCCUGGGUGUUU